UACGUAGGGCGCAAGCGUUAUCCGGAAUUAUUGGGCGUAAAGAGCUCGUAGGCGGUUUGUCGCGUCUGCCGUGAAAGUCCGGGGCUCAACUCCGGAUCUGCAGUGGGUACGGGCAGACUAGAGUGCGGUAGGGGAGACUGGAAUUCCCGGUGUAGCGGUGAAAUGCGCAGAUAUCGGGAGGAACACCGGUGGCGAAGGCGGUUCUCUGGGCCUUACCUGACGCUGAGGAGCGAAAGCGUGGGGAGCGAACAGG
rnacentral:rRNA from 1 species